GGGCACCCCUGAAGGACCAUAUCCACUGUGGACCCCCUUGGGAUCAGCCGAGGUCUGUAGAGGUGACAUUGCAGCCCAGCACCUCCCUCCUCCGCCCUGCCCUCCUCUGUCCUCCUUCCACAGGUGUGGCCAAGGGCACUGCCCAGUUGGCCUGUGACCCCCAGCUGAGGCUGCUUCCUGGGCAGCUGACUUCAAGUUUGUGACCUGAGCUCUCCAGGCCCCCGAGCGGCUGGUGCCUUGGCCCUGCAGUUCUGCGGCCAAGACUCCUCCUCUGGGAUCUCGUCUUACCCUGCUGCGGGUGCCAGGGCUGCAUGAAGCAAGGGCGAAAGUCCCCUUCGCCCGGGCGCUGCCCUCUGCCUGCUGUCCCCUGUGCUCCUGUUCCCCGUGGCUGCCCAGGGACAGGUGUGUGGGAUGGAGGACGCGGGAGAGGCUGAGUCCUCCCCAGUGGACCCCCAGAUGCAGACCCUGAGGCAAGGGAGAGUGAGAAAGUGAAGGAAAGAACACAGCUGGAAAUGCAACCAAGAAGGAACCCCAGCCCGGACCACUGUGAGCAAGGAGAGCCGAGCCCCGGGGAGCCCUGAGACAGUGUGGGAGUGGAGGCCUGGGGCGCCUCCAGGCAAGGCAGCGGGAUGUCUAUGCCCCAAGCCCUGCCAGUCGUGGAUGGAGACGCACACUUUAGUGCGGGCUCCAGAGACAGAGGGAGCCCCAGGCCGAGAGCUGUGGGUGCUGGGCAGGUGGGCAUUGGCCAGCAUUGCCCCCACUCAUGGCGGGUCCACCUUAAUUCGACGGGUGUGACACUCUCCUCACACAUGUGCACAUUCAAGAGGCAACUGUCUGUUUCUAUAACUGGGUGCAUUUCGGUCUGGAGCCGUCGAGCCGGGUGGUGGCCAUGAAUCCCAGGCAACUUGGGGGGCCCAAUCCAGGGUUGCCUUUUGGGGGCCUUGGGGCGGCUAGUGCAGUUCCACAUGCUGUUAAGGACCUUGAGAUGGGAGAUUAUUCUGGAUGGUCAGGGUGGGCACAGUUUAAUCACAGCCCCUCUAAGAGGGACUGGGAGGGUCAGGGUCAGAGGAGGAGAGGGGACGACGGAAGGGAGAGAGAG
rnacentral:lncRNA from 10 species